AUCCUUUCAAGCUGGGGUAGUCUUGGUAGCCUGUGCUACAGCCAUACAAAUUGUUUAUUCAUGCAAGUGUUACAUGUAUUCACAGUCAUAAUUCCUCUUCAUCUUCUGAUGUGUCCACUGGUACGUGCUUGGUGAAUGAUCCUCUUGUGUUUGUUUAAAAUAGCUACUGUAGUCAUGAAAUGCAGCAUUUUUUAAUGUUGCUAAUGUAUCUGAUGAUAUAUAUGUGAAGAAACCUUCAUGAAAAUAAUC